rnacentral:lncRNA from 1 species
GCUGCACCGAUGGCAUCAUCUACGUGGUGGACUCAGUGGACGUGGACCGGCUGGAGGAAGCCAAAACGGAGCUGCACAAGGUGACCAAGUUCGCGGAGAACCAGGGCACCCCGCUGCUGGUCAUCGCCAACAAGCAGGACCUGCCCAAAUCGCUGCCGGUGGCCGAGAUCGAGAAGCAGCUGGCCCUCCACGAGCUGACCCCUUCCACCACCUACCACAUCCAGCCCGCCUGCGCCAUCAUCGGCGAGGGGCUGACGGAGGGCAUGGACAAGCUCUACGAGAUGAUCCUCAAGCGCAGGAAGUCCCUCAAGCAGAAGAAGAAGCGACAAUAGUGGUGAUAACAAAGCGGCUCCCGCCAGCCGAACCCAGAUCCCGGAGCUCCCCUCGCCCACCGCCCCGUGCUCCUGAGGGUCUGAUCCGGACUCCCUUGGGCUGGAAACACGGGAAAACGGGAUGAAUCCCCCCCUCUCCAUCUCCGGGACCACCGAGCCUUUGUGUGCCGGGGAACCAGCAGGGCAGGACCCUGUUGAAGCGCGUUCGAGCGGAGCCCAGCGUGCUUUUGGAUCUUUAACGUGGGCAUUUUGGGGGUGUCGAUGCCAGACCCCCACAUGCAUUUUGGGGCGGGGGGUCGGUGCUGCGGGAGGUGCGGAUGCACCGUGUCUCGGCAAGGUCCGCGGGGUGGGCGGGGGGGGGGGGGGCUUGCAGCCCUCAUUCCUGCAUCCCCACAUCCCUGGAUCCCUCCCCCGCGGGUGGCGGUGGGAAGGGGUGUUGAAAGCUUGGAUGGGGGGGUUGGACCAGCAGAAAAUGUCUUGGAGGGGUGGGUGUGAUGGGUAAGGGACAUCCACCCACCCUGGCUGGUGUUUUAGGGUGCAGAGCAAGGACAGGCAGCCUUUGGCUUGUAGGGGGAGGAUGCGACACUGGGGUGCUGAGCAGCUGCUGAGUGGUGCAGAGCUUUAAGUUCCUGGCUCAAAAAACGGGUGGAAAGGCUGGAAAAAGGAAAAAAGAAUACCCAAGAGUUUGGGGUGAACGCUGCUGGAAGCGUUGGGGGGGUUGUGCAGGACCGGUGUCACCUUCGGCAGCAAAACCCCCCGCAGGUGUGCAUUGUCCCCGUGCUCAGGGUGAGGGUGCUCCAAGGUGCAGCUUUGGAGGUGAUCCAGAUAGGAAUUACUUAGUAAAACCCCCCAAAAAGGCAGAGUUCGGGGUUCUGGCCACUAUGCUGCUCUGCAGUGGGGCAGGAGACCAAGUCAGGGAGGGUCAUGACAGGGCAGGAUGGAUGGAUGGAUGGACAGACAGAGAUGGCCAGAGCCUGCAAAAAAUCUCUGCUGGAAAGGGAAGAUGGCAGGGGGUGAAGAGGCAUGGGGGGGUUGUGGUAGGUUUUUAAUAAAUAUUCAAACCUGAUUAAAAGCCCCUCUCUUCCCCCAGUAGCCACAUGGGCAAGCUGUGCCUGCAGAGCAGCCUGAACACCCGGGCAGGGUCGGGCCUGGCCGCCUCCUCCUGCAGGUGAACAUUUUAUACCCGCAUGGGGCUGAGGACCAAAAUCCACUUGCUGUCUGUGUUUCAGCCUGGGAUCUGGCUCUCUGGCAUCCUGGCUUCCCACAGAGCUGAAGCAGGCAGCCCUCAGGGGCCGAAUAUCCUGAGUUUGGAGGCAGGCAGGAUUUUCUGGUGAUUUUACACCAGCUUUCCCAUUUGCAAACCCCUUCCCAGAGCAGCCAAGGGGAAAGCACCAAGCAGACAAAAGCAAAAUGCCCUUCGGGUUUCAGGGAGUUGAUCCUCCCCUUGCAGGGACGAGCACCUUCCAAACAUCAUUUUUGGGGGGUGGGGGGGUUUGUUAGGGAACAAAUGUUGCAGCCGAGUUGUGUUUGUUCUCCUCUUGCGGGGUUUGAGUCCCGAUCUGUGUGGGCUGGUCCCAUCCGUUCAGGUGGCUCUCUUUCUGCUCCCUCGGGUUUCUCUGCUUUGUCUUCACCUCCAACACUUUGGUACUUGCUAUCAAGAGAGAGAGAGAGAGAAAAGAAUUAUUUAUUUUUGAUGCCACAGAAGCCACAUGUAUUAACCCAUUUUGGGAGAGAAACCUGUUUGAAAUGUAAAAGCUGUGUUGACCCCAGCAGCUCCAGGGUGGUCAGGUUUUAGGAAUGACACCUGCAGGCUGUUGGUGGUGGGUUUUUUUACCUCCUGGCUGGUCUCGUUUAGCACAUGCUGGCAGUGGAAAGGCUGUUCUUACAGAGCUGGGUCCUUCCUGAGAGCUCGUUCCACCCAGCUGAGCAUCCCCUUGUAGAGAUGGCAGAGGGCUGGAAGGUUCGGGUGGGACGCUGUGCCCGUGCCCUUGCCAGCCACUCUGCUUUCUGCAAUAAUUAAAAAGACUUUUCCAAUGAGUAGCUCCUGGCUUCCGUGGUGUUUCCAUAACGUCCCACCCGGUUUUCCCCCUUCCCUGUGUGAAAAUGAGCGUCGCCCUCGGCGGGCUGCAAGAAGAGGGGCCUCAGCAGAGCAGCCCCCAAGGGCUCUUUGCAAGGCCAGUUUCUGGAUGACCUGGGUUUUUUGGCAGGUCUCAUUCCCCAGGUCCAUUUGUCGUGUUCCCAUCUGCGAUAUCCUGUGUCCUGCCCUCGCCAUUGUCUGUCAGUCUCUGUUCCUCCUGUCUUUCCUUUUUUUCAUUUUCUGUUUUUUUUCUUUUUUUAAGAUGCAGACUUAAUGCUGUGAACUGAAAUAAAUUAUUUAUACAAUGAAAGGGCCUGAUUAAAAAAAAAAAAA